UGACACAAAUCACUGUUUGUCUCCCAU
rnacentral:piRNA from 1 species